UGGACUUGACAUGGUGCUGCAAGCGCACGGAAACGUGUGACCUUCGAGGGUGCACCACAGAUGCUGCAUGGCUGUCGUCAGCUCGUGUCGUGAGAUGUUGGGUUAAGUCCCGCAACGAGCGCAACCCUCGUUCCAUGUUGCCAGCGGGUAAUGCCGGGGACUCAUGGGAGACUGCCGGGGUCAACUCGGAGGAAGGUGGGGAUGACGUUACGGUCUUACU
rnacentral:misc_RNA from 1 species